GUGUUAAAGCGGCUGGUUCUAAAUGCAUUAGCUGGUCCUUGAAUUUCUUGGUUCUACUCGGCGUGAUAAUUAUCUAACGUUGAGGACAUCUCUUAAUUGAGGUGGCCAGGGUUUUCUAUGGGUUGCUUCUAAUCGUCUUCACAGACAAUAUAUUUUCAAUAUCUGACCUCGAAUCAGGUGGGACUACCCGCUGAACUUAA
rnacentral:misc_RNA from 1 species